GACACGAUGGUCGGCAUGGACUUGAUGGGCCGAAGGUUCUUGCUUCUGUGCUAUGACCUCUGGAGCAGGAACUUAAACACACAACCAACUGGCUCAAAAGUGCCCUCACUAGGUUGUCCAUGUCUCAGCAGUGCACAGAAGGGGUCACCAUAAUGAAGAA